CCAGAUUUUGAUUUGAGAUUUUGUAAUUUUCAGAUUUUUACAUAUUGUUGGACAAACCCGAUAUCCACGGGUUUAACCGAAAUCCAUACCAAAAUGGGUUUGAUAACAAAAUUUUACCCAUUACGCAUAAUGAGACGGUUAUGGGUAAAACCGUGGGCAAAUUUAACAAGCAACGGAUAGGGGGUAACCGACCCGUAACCGACCCAUUGCCAAGCCUAUUCGGUGACACUACCGACCAAUCUAGAAGGUCGCAUAGUGACAUUCUCUUUUGAUAAUACAUUAAAAUAAGGGUUGCCUUAAAAUAAACAUAAUAAAAAAUUUAAAAAAAAAAAAUCCAAAGCUUAUCUUCUGCGUUUUAGAUCUCAUCCCUCUUCGAUCUUCCCCCAAUCCCAGUGUUGCACUACUGCUCCGUCGCGCGCAAAUCUCCAUCUCUUCCUACCAACGAAUUUUCUUUUAUUUUUGCCUUUUAACCAAAUUUUGUUAUUAUCCUUUUUCUCCAACUCUGAUUGUCUUCUGCGAACAUCAUCGGUUUUUAAAGUAGAUGACGGAGGAGCUCCGAUUACCAGAGGCUGAGCUGGAGCAGGAGAAUUAUUGAAGUCGAAAGCUUGUUGUGGGAAAACUGAAUAAAAGAGGAGAGCAGCAGCUAGUGCCAAUUUGGAAGAUAAAGAUUUGAAAGAAAUUGAAUCGGAUUGAUUGCUGCUGAGAAUAGCUUGGUCGUCGCCAGGAUUUGGAUUUGAGGUGGGAUCUGGUGGAUUUGAGGUGGGAUCUGGUGGAUUUGAGCUCGGUGGUCGGUACUUAUUUAUUUAAUGUAUUAUCAAAAGAAAAUGUCACACCAACUAAAUUAGUUGGUACUGACAGCAUUAUAACAUAAGUAGACUAACGUCAAAAGUUGAUAGCGUGCUAUAUUCAUAAACGAUCACAAUAGGUCGUAACAUACAUUAAAUUACUUAUAAAUUGAUAAAAC
rnacentral:lncRNA from 1 species